rnacentral:rRNA from 1 species
GACGAACGCUGGCGGCGUGCUUAACACAUGCAAGUCGAACGGAAAGGCCCUGCUUUUGUGGGGUGCUCGAGUGGCGAACGGGUGAGUAACACGUGAGUAACCUGCCCUUGACUUUGGGAUAACUUCAGGAAACUGGGGCUAAUACCGGAUAGGAGCUCCGCUGCAUGGGGGGGGGUGGGAAGUUUCGGCGGUUGGGGAUGGACUCGCGGCUUAUCAGCUUGUUGGUGGGGUAGUGGCUUACCAAGGCUUUGACGGGUAGCCGGCCUGAGAGGGUGACCGGCCACAUUGGGACUGAGAUACGGCCCAGACUCCUACGGGAGGCAGCAGUGGGGAAUAUUGCACAAUGGGCGGAAGCCUGAUGCAGCAACGCCGCGUGCGGGAUGACGGCCUUCGGGUUGUAAACCGCUUUCGCCUGUGACGAAGCGUGAGUGACGGUAAUGGGUAAAGAAGCACCGGCUAACUACGUG